GCUAAGGGUGUAUCUCAGUGGUAGAGCAUCUGCUUGGCAUGCAUGAGGUCCUGGGUUCAAUCCUCAGCCUGGCA
rnacentral:tRNA from 1 species